AAUUUUACAUUGUAUUAGGUUGGUGCAAAAGUAAUUGUGGUUUUUGCCUUUUAAAAGCAACGGCAAAGACCACAAUUACUUUUUCACCAACCUCAUACUUUGUGUACAUCUUACCA
rnacentral:miRNA from 1 species